UACGAACGGGGCUAGCGUUGUUCGGAAUUACUGGGCGUAAAGGGCGCGUAGGCGGCCUGCUAAGUCGAACGUGAAAUCCCCGGGCUCAACCCGGGAACUGCGUCCGAUACUGGCAGGCUUGAAUCCGGGAGAGGGAUGCGGAAUUCCCGGUGUAGAGGUGAAAUUCGUAGAUAUCGGGAGGAACACCGGUGGCGAAGGCGGCGAUCUGGGUCGAUACUGACGCUGAGGCACGAAGGCCAGGGGAGCAAACGGG
rnacentral:rRNA from 1 species